rnacentral:rRNA from 1 species
UACGUACUGCGCGAGCGUUAUUCGGAAUCACUGGGCGUAAAGGGUGCGUAGGCGGUUCAAUUAGUCAGGUGUGAAAUCCCACGGCCCAACCGUGGAACUGCACUUGAAACUGUUGAACUUGAGCAAUCUAGGGGUAAGCGGAACUUCCGGUGGAGCGGUGAAAUGUGUUGAGAUCGGAAGGAACACCAAGAGCGAAAGCA